rnacentral:rRNA from 1 species
UGGGGAAUCUUGCGCAAUGGGCGAAAGCCUGACGCAGCGACGCCGCGUGGGGGAAGAAGGCUUUCGGGUUGUAAACCCCUUUCAGGAAGGACGAAGCCACUCGGGUGAAUAGCCCAGAGGGUGACGGUACUUCCAGAAGAAGCCCCGGCUAACUACGUGCCAGCAGCCGCGGUAAUACGUAGGGGGCAAGCGUUGUCCGGAUUUAUUGGGCGUAAAGGGCGUGUAGGCGGCUUGGUAGGUCCGCUGUGAAAACUCGAGGCUCAACCUCGAGACGCCGGUGGAAACCAUCAAGCUAGAGUCCGGAAGAGGAGAGUGGAAUUCCUGGUGUAGCGGUGAAAUGCGCAGAUAUCAGGAAGAACACCCGUGGCUAAGGCGGCUCUCUAGUACGGUACUGACGCUGAGACGCGAAAGCGUGGGGAGCGAAC